rfam:Oryza glumipatula chromosome 5, whole genome shotgun sequence.
AAUAAACGUAUCCAUAAGUUUCAGAGCUCAACUUUGGUCAUCCGUAUUAUUUAAAAUUUUUCUAUAAUUAGCAUAUUAUUAUUAUUAGAUUAUAAAACAUGAAUAGUUAUGUUUUUAUUUUUUAAAAAAAAUUAAAUAAGAUGAAAGAUUAAAGAUGUGCACGGAAAUUCAUGGCUGCGUUUAUU